UCUCUCUCUCUCUCUCUCUCUCUCUCUCCCCGAUCCAGCCAAUUGAAUCUCCAUUCUGCUAUCGCUCUCUCCCAAUUUCUGUAUAUUUCCGCCAUGUAUCGAGUUGGUGCAGCCCUAGCUUCAUCUAUCAGGUAUCUGCUCAACACACAGAAACAUUACACAUUAAACAUCCUGUAUCUAUUUAUAUGCCUGUAUGCACGGGCUCGCAUCGUAUAAUGACUGAUAUCCGCUGCCACAAUUACUCAGGUCCUCUGCUUCCAGGAAACUGGUUUGACUUCUUCCCAAAACUCGAGUAUUUGCUCUUUUGUAUCGGAUUAGAUUAGAUAUGAGUUGAUUGAAUCUAUUCAGCUUUUCUACUUGAAGAUUUGAUUUUUGAUGGUGCCUGAGGUUGACGAUUGGGUAUGGUGAUUUUUGAUUGAUUUGGAAGGUACAAAGUAGAGUUUUACACGACAGAAAUUAUGUGGCUAAAGAUAUCAAUUUUGGUACCGGGGCUCAAGCAGCUAUGCUACAGGGUGUUAAUGAGCUUGCAGAGGCUGUUAAGGUCACCAUGGGUCCAAAGGCCAGUACGUUAACAUGGUGAAGGCUGGAAUUGUGGAUCCUCUCAAAGUAAUCAGAACAGCCUUAUUAGAUGCUGCCAGUGUCUCUUUGUUACUGACAACCACAAAAGCUAUUGUUGUUGACCAUCAAGGAGAGAAAAACCCACUUGUGAAUGGCAUGACGAAUAUGGACGACUUGCUUCAUGGCGCUUCCUCAAGGCGCAUGAUUUCACUUUCACCAUAUCUCCAUCUAUCCAAGCUCUCCUACCCACCAAUUUUCAACCAUCGGAUCUCUGAUUCCCUCCACCAUCAGACCCACAAUGAACUUCUUGAUCACCUUCUCCGAAAAUCCACAACCAUUCAACAAUGUCAACAGCUCCACACCCAAAUCAUCCACACUAGGGCCCACACGUCCUCAUUCUUGGUUGCCAGACUUGUGGCUACCUAUACGCAUUUUGGGCUUCUUUUCGAUGCCCGAAAAGCAUUUGAAUCUGCCCACGUUGAUUGCUUUUCAAGCUUGCUUUUGUGGAACUCAAUCUUGAGAGCUAAUGUAACGUGUGGGGAACAUGAGGAGGCCCUUAGGGUUUAUCUUCGGAUGCGAAAACUUGGGGUUGGGCCUGAUGGGUUUAGUUUCCCUUUGGUUAUAAGGGCUUGUGGGCUGAUUGGGGAUUCUAGAUUGUGCAGGAAUGUUCAUAGUCAUGUUUUCCAGAUGGGUUCUCAAUAUAAUCUCCAUGUUGUGAACGAGUUGUUGGUCAUGUAUGGCAAGGUUGGGAAGAUGGAAGAUGCUCGCCGAGUGUUUGAUAGAAUGGCUGAAAGAACCCACAUUUCCUGGAACUGUAUGGUUUCAGGAUUCGCUAUGAAUUUUGAUUGUGAUGGUGCUAUUGAGAUGUUUCGUAAGAUGGAAUCCGAAGGUUUGGAGCCAAACCUCGUAACGUGGACUUCAUUGUUAUCUAGCUAUGCCAGGUGUGGGCGUCGUGAAGCAACGUUCCAUUUUUAUGGUGAGAUGAGAAAAAUGGGAAUUGGCUGUACGGCUGAAGCACUUGCUGUGGUCAUAUCUGUUUGUGCUGAUUCAGGUUCACUUCACAAGGGUGAGGUAAUCCACGGAUAUGUGAUAAAAGGUGGUUUUGAGAAUUAUUUGUUUGUGUAUAACUCGCUCAUAUGCAUGUACGGGAGAAAUGGUGCUGUUAGAGAUGCAAAAAAUUUGUUUUCAGAAAUGGAAAUGAAGAAUGUAGUGAGUUGGAAUGCUUUGAUAACCUCCUAUGCAGAAUCUGGAUUGUGUGAUGAGGCUUAUGCUAUAUUUUCACAGAUGGAAAAUUCAGACGUGUAUCCAAUGGUGAGACCUAAUGUUAUAAGCUGGAGUGCUAUUGUUGGUGGGUUCGCUUCUAAGGGACACGGGAAGGAGUCUCUAGAACUCUUUCGUCGCAUGCAAACAGCUAAAGUAUUGGCCAACUCCAUUACAAUUUCCAGCGUUCUGUCCGUUUGUGCAGAGUACUCUGCACUUGGUCUUGGCAGGGAAAUCCAUGGCCAUACAAUUAAAGCAAUCAUGGAUGGGAAUAUUUUGGUGGGAAACGGCUUGAUUAAUAUGUACACUAAAUGCGGUAGUCUUGAUAAAGCACUUUUGGUGUUUGAAGAAAUUGACGGUAGAGAUUUGGUUUCAUGGAACUUAAUGAUUGCAGGGUAUGGAAUGCAUGGACUUGGUAACUAUGCUCUAGAAACUUUUGAGCAGAUGAUGAAAGCCGGAUAUAACCCAGAUGGGGUCACUUUUGUUGCUGUUCUUUCUGCAUGUAGCCAUGCUGGGCUUGUUUUUGAGGGUCGCAAGAUUUUCAAGCAAAUGGAAUCAAAGUUUAGGAUUGAACCCCAGGUGGAGCACUAUUCCUGUAUUGUUGACCUCCUUGGGCGUGCGGGGUUUUUACAAGAAGCUAGCGAAAUGGUCAGAAGCAUGCCGAUUGAGCCCAAUUCUUAUGUCUGGGGAACUCUAAUGAACUCAUGUAGGAUGCAUAAAAACACAGACAUUGCACAAGAAACAGCUUCACGGAUUUUUAGUCUUGACUCAGAGACCACUGGAAGUUACACGCUGCUGUCUAAUAUUUAUGCUUCUACUGGAAGAUGGGAUGAUUCUGCUAGGGUGAGAAUUUCAGCAAAGGCUAAGGGUUUAAAGAAAAUCCCUGGCCAGAGUUGGAUUGAGGUGCAGAAUAAGGUACAUAUGUUCUCAGCAGGGAAUAAUAAUACACUGGAAACAGGGAUGGAGGAAGUUUACAAUAUACUAAAGUAUUUGGGGCUGCAGAUGGAGAUGGAGAUUGAAGGGUCUUCACCUGACAAGAGUUCUGUGCUACAGGAUGUUUAGGAAGAAAUAUUUACUCCUAUAUGACAACUAGAGUUGGAAAGAAUCUCUAAAUUUAUGGUGAUUGUCAUAACUCAACAAUCUUCGCCAAGACGACUUGGUGUUAUUUCCUGCCAAGGUAACAGGUAAGCAACUUGACUCUCUUUUUGUUAUACUGCCAAGGAAAAUGCAUGCUACUCAAAGAAUGCCUUGGAAACUGAUUCCCCUCCAUCAAACUCAGAGCAAUUGAGAUUUUUUGGUUGGACAAUCAGUCAAGUGCUUAAUCCCUUUCAUCACCUGGAACAACAGUGGGUAAAGUCAACCACAAUUCAAUUAGUCAAUCAUCCCGAAAGCUUCAACCAAAUAGGUUACCUCAGGUUUUUUUUUUUUGCUUGGAAAAAAGAAAUAUUUUAUUGAACUCAAUAAAGGACAUGAGAGGGAGAGAAAAGAGGCAAUAAGUUAGCUCAGUUGCACUUGCACCUAUGCACAAUGUUUGGUUGGUUCUCCCCAUCACAGGGUUUCCUUUUUUAGUGUGUGCUUGACGUCAUGGUUUUGGGGUCAAUUAUGUAUAGUGCAUGUAUGUUAUGGCUCUCUUGCGUAGUUGACUGUUCAGCCUAAUGUAAUUCACAUGAUAUUCUUAAUCAUCCAACUGAUUCAGGGAAAAAUAUCGUUCAUAGAGAUCCGUGUCAAACUACUUUCGGUGAAUUUCAAGAGGGUAUGUUGCCAUGAAAUGAGUGGAGAUUUCGGGAGUAUGAAACACUUAAGUUGAAUUUUCUGUUAGAGCGUCUUGGUCCAAUUCUCCAUUUCUUCCUCCAUUUUUUCCAUUUGAGAGGAUUUAGAUAUAUUUUUAUAUUCAUAAAGUGGAUUCGGAGGAAUUCAUUAUUCACAUCAACUCCAACCCACACAUAUCUAUUUUCAUUUCUAAAUGUUUCCCUCCAAUAUUAAUUGGUUGAUUUUCACUUUUUUGAAAUUCAAAUAAAUAUAUUUGAUAUUAGUCUCAUUUUAAAGAUAUCGUCAUUAUCUUUUCCAGGACACCAACUUUAUAAAUAGUGAAUGUAUAUAUUAAAAGUUAUAGACAAUUUAUCAAAUUACAACAAAAUGUAUAAAGGACAUGCUUGGUGUUUAAAUUAGAGUCAAAUGCUCAUGGUGACAAAAAUGAAAUUUGAAAAGGUGAAUAAUUUUGAUACUCCAUAUUUUGGAGUAUGGAAUCUCAUCCUCCCAAAUGGAGGAUGGGUUUUACAUUUUCCUACAAAUUUUGGAGAAAUGGAGCAUGCAUUGGAGAUGCCCUUAUCAGAUGAGUGCUUUUGCGGACAACCAAGCAUUUAAGUGGCGGCUAUUGAAUUACUCCAUGUGAUCUGCUUCUUAGACAAGUGGAUGAGUGUCGUUGUCCUUUGUUGGCUUCAGUUCUUGUCAAGUCUUGAAGGUCUAAGGGCUGUUACCUAGACGGAGGGAUAUCUCCUAGCAGUUAGGUGCUUGAUGAUUCCAGUGUGAGCUUGAGCUGCAGCACUAGAAUGAGAAGCUGUCUCCUCGCGCAGCUGAAAGGAAAAAUAGAGGCCUUCUUCAAGUCUAUUUUGGAAAAUUGCAUCAUCAUGCUACUAUUACAUGGACUUCAUUGCAUGGUUCCAAAACUGGAGUAACAUUUUCCUGGAAAAUGAAGGUCUCUUUGGCUGUUCUGUGAAAGAGUAGUCAUCUCCAGACGGGAAAAUAAGGUGAUUGCAUUCCAGUUUGAGCUAGAGCUGCAAUGCUAGUGUGAGGAGCUGUCUUACUCUUCUCUCCACCGCACAUUUGUGUGGGGGGCACACAGACAAGGCCAUGUGGUGCCCCAACCCCCCCCUCUCCACUACACAUUUGUUGGGACUCAAUUCCACAAAAAUGUGUGGUGGAGAGAGGGUUUGGGGCAUCACAUUUCCUUGCCCGGA